rnacentral:rRNA from 1 species
UACGGAGGGUGCAAGCGUUAUCCGGAUUUAUUGGGUUUAAAGGGUGCGCAGGCGGGGCUUUAAGUCAGUGGUGAAAUCUCUUCGCUUAACGAAGAAACUGCCAUUGAUACUGAAGUUCUUGAAUCUAUGUUGACGUUAGUGAAUGUGUCAUGUAGCGGUGAAAUGCUUAGAUAUGACACAGAACACCGAUCGCGAAGGCAGCUAACGAAGCUAGUAUUGACGCUCAGGCACGACAGCAUGGGGAGCAAACAGG